rnacentral:rRNA from 1 species
ACAUAGGGUGCAAGCGUUGUCCGGAAUUAUUGGGCGUAAAGAGCUCGUAGGUGGUUUGUUACGUCGGUUGUGAAAUUCAGGGGCUCAACCCCUGACUUGCAGCCGAUACGGGCAAGCUAGAGUUUGGUAGGGGAGACUGGAAUUCCUGGUGUAGCGGUGGAAUGCGCAGAUAUCAGGAGGAACACCGAUGGCGAAGGCAGGUCUCUGGGCCAAUACUGACACUGAGGAGCGAAAGCGUGGGGAGCGAACAGGAUUAGAUACCCUGGUAGUCCACGCCGUAAACGGUGGGCGCUAGUUGUGCGAACCUUCCACGGUUUGUGCGACGCAGCUAACGCAUUAAGCGCCCCGCCUGGGGAGUACGAUCGCAAGAUUA